rnacentral:lncRNA from 1 species
CCAGAUUAAGCUCUCCUUUACUGUACACCAACUCUAAAAACAAACGUAAGCUAAUAAUAGGCGUCUAUGUCCUUAUGCUACAGCUUGUUGCGUGAGAUUACAGCCUCGAGCAUCUAAUGUGUGUAGUGGUGAUUUUAAGCACAAGAAAUGUCUUGGAAAUCAGGUCAUGCUCAUAUACUUUCAACAGAGAAGCAGUCCACCACAAGAGCUCGCAAUCAUCAUGCCCUCUUGUUCAAUUACUCCUCCUUUCACUGACUGCAAACAUACCAGUUUCUUAACAAAUCCUCCUCAUCAUCAACAUUAUCAUCAUCAUUACACUCUCAUGCCUACAACUUUUCUUGUCAUCCACCAACCACAAAAAUCAUCUUCACCAUUAUUACACUCGCCAAAAGUAUUUUAAACAAGAGAUAUAAAACCUAAUCAUCUCAUCACCUAUUCAAUCCAUCUAGUUUCGUUCGUCUCUCGGGGAAUCAAGCUCUCUCGGUCCGAUUGUUUGCUAGAUCAAGCAAUACUUUUAGUAGUUUUGUUAUUUUUUUUUUGAAAAUGCAAGCUUAUAUGUCUUACAAAUUAGUAUAUGUUCUAAUACUUUUCGAGUGAGCCAGAGUCGAACCCGGGUCUCCUGGGACAACAGAGGAUAAACCCACCACUUGGGCUAUCCAAUCGUGCUCAACAAUACUUUUAGUAGUUAGUUUCCAAGCUCUUGAAUUUUUUUAUUUUUUUCUUCUCUUGUUAGUUUAGAUAGUGUUCCUCGUCAGUUUAACUAGACUUAACUGUGUGUGUUCUUUCUUGUUUGAGUGGUUUGUUUUUGUAAUAUGGUCUUUUCGAUUGGUUCUUGUUCAUGUACUUGAAUGAUUGACAGAAGAAUUGCAUACUAUUUUUGAGUUUUACUCCCAUUUUCUAGAAACCACUUUUCUUUUUUGAGUUUCCAAAAAGAAUGAUUUUUCUAUUAAUGGUUUUCCUUAAAAUUAUUAAAACCACACGUUCAUAAGAUUAAGUGUGUGUUUGUUUACCACUUUAAAAGCCGG